UACGUAGGGGGCCAGCGUUGUCCGGAUUCAUUGGGCGUAAAGCGCGUGUAGGCGGCUGGGUAGGUCUGACGUGAAAACUCGAGGCUCAACCUCGAGACGUCGUCGGAAACCACCCGGCUAGAGUCCGGAAGAGGAGAGUGGAAUUCCCGGUGUAGCGGUGAAAUGCGCAGAUAUCGGGAAGAACACCCAUGGCGAAGGCAGCUCUCUGGGACGGUACUGACGCUGAGACGCGAAAGCGUGGGGAGCGAACAGGAUUAGAUACCCUGGUAGUCCACGCCGUAAACGAUGGGCGCUAGGUGUGGGCGGUGUCGACUCCGUCCGUGCCGAAGCUAACGCAUUAAGCGCCCCGCCUGGGGAGUACGACCGCAAGGUUAAA
rnacentral:rRNA from 1 species